AUACCUUUCUCGGCCUUUUGGCUAAGAUCAAGUGUAGUAUCUGUUCUUAUCAGUUUAAUAUCUGAUAUGUGGGUCAUCGGCCCACUUGAUAUUAAUCUUAUUUUUUAUGGGGGAAGACCCAUCACAAUAGCUUGCUAUUGGGGUCUUUGAGUGUCGCCUUGGUCUUGCACUGCCACCUUGGCCUGGCGCACCCCUC
rfam:Helianthus annuus linkage group 3, whole genome shotgun sequence.